AGGACACUCAGGUUUUGGGAUCUGGGUGCUCUCCCGACUAUAAUAUAAUAACCUGAAUAAAGUCAGUUUGCUUACCGGCUUAGGUCUUUGUCUCUGACAAUUUGCCUCUGUGACGUGGAUGGGACUGGAAGUCCAUUUGGAGCCCUGUCUUCUCCACCUAGGGAGAGAGACCCCAUGAGCUCGUCAAGCUCCUUCUGUGACUGAUCAGAGAUCCCACCGUGAGUCCAGCUCCUGGUCCCAUGCUCUGGAUAUAUCGGUCCCUGGCAGCGUGGUAUCUCACAGAAUCUCUGACCAAUGGAGAGCUAAUCAAAGACAAGUUUAAUAGGUGAAGAAAAUACUUGGAUUGGGAGGAUGGCUGAAAAGUCCCAUUGAACAAGGCCCUCAAAUGGAGUUCCUGUGGAGUGGUCACCUUUUUGAUGACUUCAACUGGGAACAUCAGUACGGAACCAUCGCUGGGUGUUCAUUCCAUCACCCCUUCCUAUGUCCCUGCUCAGGACACCCUGCGUCUGUCUAUAUGCAUUGCUACCAGUUUAGACAGUGAGUUACAUUUAGUCCAUUUGUGCAUUGUUCUUUAUUGUAUCCAUGGUAUCUAGCACAAUUCUUGUUCUUAUUAGAGCUUGGUAAAUGUCAUUGAUUAAUCCAGGGCAGAUUAUCUCUCUCAUUUUCGUGAAUCCUCUGCAUAAACAAUUUGAUUAAAAAUUUAUGACAAAA
ensembl:lncRNA novel transcript